rnacentral:lncRNA from 1 species
AGUGCCUCUUUCAGUGAUACGAAGCUAAAACCAGAUACUGCUUUCAUAGUACUUUUCUGACCACGGUUUUCUGGAGUUUUUUCGUAUGGAGUUUGUAAGCUUCCUGACAUGUUAUUUUUGGCAGAUUUUGAUGGAUGUACAUUGAUGGAUAGCCACGUGGAUCCAGAAAAUAAAGACUUCUACUCUGCAUUUGACUAAAGCAGAAGAUAUGCAAGGAAGCUCAGUCUCUCAAUUGAGUGGAUUCUGAAAUUUAUCCUGUUGUCUUCAGCUACUAAGGCUAAUUUGCAAAUCACACUGUGCACGGAAUGUGUGUGUCCCACCCCUGCAGUACUUCAGCAUUCUGAGGUAACAAGACAGUUGGCUUACUGCAUCUUAGAAAGGCUUAUUGAUUUUGUUAUUGCUACAACUAUCAUGGAAGCAGAGGCAGCAAUUUCUCAAGCCUAGUUCCAAAAGGAUUAAACCUGACAAAGAUUUAUAAACAACCUGUUCAGUGGCUGCUGAUUAACUCCCCAAGAUUGAUGUACUGAAGAAGGAUGACCUCCCCUUGACACCAAUGCUACUAGUCAAUAACGACCACUGUGACUCAGAACAAAUUCUCUGGGGGCAGGCAGUGAAGCUUCUUCUCUUGUUGACCUUACCAGACCACAAGGCUGAAAAUAUUCUGUGGCCUGAUGCCCUUAAAUUGAUCAUAUUAAUACAAUCAAGCAGAAAAGAAAUUAAUUUUCCCUCUCUCUCUCUGUCUAUAUAUAUACUUACUACUAUAUAUAUGUGUGUAUAUAUAUGCUAUAUAUGUGUGUGUAUAUAUAUAGCAGUACAUAUAGAUAUAAUUAGUAUAUAUAGAAGUAGUAAAUAUAUAAAAAUAUAUUUGUAUUCCUCUUCAGCUCCAUACUUGAGAUUAAAAAGUAUCCUUUAAGAGUUCAUACAUCUAGACCUCUCUUCUGAAAAGAAUAAUAAUCUCCUGUUUAUCUAUGCACUUAUUUGCUAAAUAAAGAAGAAUAUUGAGCACCCAAA